GAUCCUGGCUCAGGACGAACGCUGGCGGCGCGCCUAACACACGCAAGUCGAACGAGCGAGAGAGAGCUUGCUUUCUCGAGCGAGUGGCGGACGGGUGAGUAACGCGUGAGGAACCUGCCUCAAAGAGGGGGACAACAGUUGGAAACGACUGCUAAUACCGCAUAAGCCCACGACCCGGCAUCGGGAAGAGGGAAAAGGAGCAAUCCGCUUUGAGACCCCCUGGCCUCGCGUCCGAUUAGCUGGUUGGUG
rnacentral:rRNA from 1 species